rnacentral:rRNA from 1 species
UCGCUACUACCGAUUGAACAUUUUAGUGAGUUGCAAUGACUCGAGAUGUAUUGAGGCUUGCCUCUUUCGUUUUGGGGAACGGCUGCAAACUUGAUUGUUUAGAGGAAGUAA